rnacentral:ncRNA from 2 species
GCCUAACACAUGCAAGUCGAGCGGAAACGACAACAUUGACCCUUCGGGUGAUUUGUUGGGCGUCGAGCGGCGGACGGGUGAGUAAUGCCUAGGAAGUUGCCCAGUAGAGGGGGGAUAACCAUUUGGAAACGAUGGCUAAUACCGCAUAACGUCUACGGACCAAAGAGGGGGACCUUCGGGCCUCUCGCUUCAGGAUAUGCCCAGGUGGGAUUAGCUAGUUGGUGAGGUAAUG